rnacentral:rRNA from 1 species
UAGGGAAUCUUCGGCAAUGGACGAAAGUCUGACCGAGCAACGCCGCGUGAGUGAAGAAGGUUUUCGGAUCGUAAAACUCUGUUGUUAGAGAAGAACAAGGACGUUAGUAACUGAACGUCCCCUGACGGUAUCUAACCAGAAAGCCACGGCUAACUACGUGCCAGCAGCCGCGGUAAUACGUAGGUGGCAAGCGUAGUCCGGAUUUAUUGGGCGUAAAGCGAGCGCAGGCGGUUUCUUAAGUCUGAUGUGAAAGCCCCCGGCUCAACCGGGGAGGGUCAUUGGAAACUGGGAGACUUGAGUGCAGAAGAGGAGAGUGGAAUUCCAUGUGGAGCGGUGAAAGGCGUAGAAAUAUGGAGGAACACCAGUGGCGAAGGCGGCUCUCUGGUCUGUAACUGACGCUGAGGCUCGAAAGCGUGGGGAGCAAACAGG